rnacentral:rRNA from 1 species
AUACGUAGGGGGCAAGCGUUAUCCGGAUUUACUGGGUGUAAAGGGAGCGUAGACGGCAAAGUAAGUCUGAAGUGAAAGCCCCGGGCUCAACCCGGGAACUGCUUUGGAAACUAUUUAGCUAGAGUGCAGGAGAGGUAAGUGGAAUUCCUAGUGUAGCGGUGAAAUGCGUAGAUAUUAGGAGGAACACCGGCGGCGAAGGCGGCUUACUGGACUGUAACUGACGUUGAGGCUCGAAAGCGUGGGGAGCAAACAGGAUUAGAUACCCUGGUAGUCCACGCCGUAAACGAUGAUCACUAGGUGUUGGGAGGCAAAGCCUUUCGGUGCCGCAGCUAACGCAAUAAGUGAUCCACCUGGGGAGUACGUUCGCAAGAAUGAAACUCAAAUGAAUGGACGGGG